rnacentral:rRNA from 1 species
AAACUAACAAGGAUUCCCCUAGUAACGGCGAGUGAAGUGGGAAAAGCUCAACUUUGAAAUCUGGCACCUUUGGUGUCCGAGUUGUAGUCUCGAGAAAUGUUUUCCGUGCCAGGUUGUGUGUGAGUCUGUUGGAAUACAGCGUCAUAGAGGGUGAGAACCCCGUUCAUAACACAAUCUUCGGUGCUUUGUGAUACAUUUUCGAAGAGUCGAGUUGUUUGGGAAUGCAGCUCAAAAUGGGUGGUAAAUUCCAUCUAAAGCUAAAUAUUGGCGAGAGACCGAUAGCAAACAAGUACCGUGAGGGAAAGAUGAAAAGCACUUUGGAAAGAGAGUUAACAGUACGUGAAAUUGUUGAAAGGGAAACGAUUGAAGUCAGACGUGCGUUGUGCAAUUCAGCUCUGGUUCUCCAGAGUGUACUUUGUACUAUUGCAGGCCAACAUCGGUUUUGCGAGUCGGAUAAAGGUUUGAGGAAUGUAGCAUCUUCGGGUGUGUUAUAGCCUCUUGCUGAAUACGGAUUGCGAGACCGAGGGACGCAGCGCGCCGCAAGGCAAAAGCUUCGGCUUUUUCGCGCUUAGGAUGUUGGUGAAAUGGCUUUAAACGAC